rnacentral:rRNA from 1 species
UGGGGAAUCUUGCACAAUGGGGGAAACCCUGAUGCAGCGACGCCGCGUGAACGAUGAAGCCCUUCGGGGUGUAAAGUUCUUUCGACAGGAACGAUAAUGACGGUACCUGAGGAGGAAGCCACGGCUAACUACGUGCCAGCAGCCGCGGUAAUACGUAGGUGGCAAGCGUUGUCCGGAUUUACUGGGCGUAAAGGGAGCGUAGGCGGACUUUUAAGUGAGAUGUGAAAUACCCGGGCUCAACCUGGGUGCUGCAUUUCAAACUGGAAGUCUAGAGUGCAGGAGAGGAGAGUGGAAUUCCUAGUGUAGCGGUGAAAUGCGUAGAGAUUAGGAAGAACACCAGUGGCGAAGGCGACUCUCUGGACUGUAACUGACGCUGAGGCUCGAAAGCGUGGGGAGCAAACA